ensembl:lincRNA
AUGCUACUUCAUACAUAAAGAAAAGCUAUAUCCAACCAUAUGGCUGUUUUUCAUAUUUCAUAUUUAGGAUUGAUCAUAGGCUCGGGUUCUGUGUUGUGUGUAUUUCUGCAUUAGGCACAUGAUUUCCUCUUAUUCCAUCCAGGUGUUUGUGUAAUUCCGCUUUAUGUAAAAUGAGCUUGUGGUUCUGCUUCUGCUCUAUACUUUUAUUCAUUUGAAUAUUCAUUUGAAUAUCAGCUGGAAGAGGCAAGAAAUUAAAAUAUUAUUUCCUCAUUUUUAGCAGAUGAUACUGUAAGUACAACAUCAGAACUGUCACGGGAUUUGUCUCGGUGUAAUGUCAGCUCAUAUCAGAAAAUCAAUGCCUGAUCUGCUUUGUUAAAUUCUACACAGUGGAGAGCCAGAUUACAUAAUGAUGUUCACUGCUUUUAAGGGUUUUGUUUGGUCUUUGUUGGCUGUCAUCACUUUAAACUUAAGUUUAGUAUCCAGCACUGCAGCUGAUUCAGGAACAGUAGUGAGUGCAGUGUUAGAUUGUAAGCUUUAUAAUGACCUGUACAUCUGCACUGGCGCUCAGCACCGCAUGCACUGCAACACUACAGAACAUCAUUUCUCCUACCACAGAAACCAACACCAGUACCAGUGCUUGAGUAAUGACUGUGUCUGUGUUGGUAAUAACGACACCUGUGUGUGUUAUUCUAAUACAUCAUCCUGCUUCUGUGAGACGUUCGACAAUACCACUCUCACUACAGCAGUCAGUCCAGUCUCUGAGUGUGUGCACUAUAAUGACCUGUACGUCUGCACUGGUGCUCACUAUCACAUGUACUGCAACACAAGUGUACAUGAUUUCCAUUAUGAUAGAUCCCAUUACCACUGUUUGAAUAACUACUGUGACUGUUUUGGUAAUACAGACACCUGUACAUGCUAUAACAGCACUCGGUCCUCCUGCUUUUGUGAAAUGAAUAAUGUUAGUAUCUCCGUCCCUGCAGCACUCAGUCCUGUUUAUGAGUGUGUGCUUUAUAAUGACACAUACAUCUGCAAUGGUGCUCAGUACCGCAUGUUCUGCAAUACAAGACUGCAUAAUUUCUAUUACCAGAAAGGUCAAUCACAGUGCAUGGGUCAUGAUUGUUACUGUUUUGCUGAUAAGCACACCUGUACAUGCUAUGAGAGCAGUUUGUCCUCCUGCUUCUGUGCAAAUCGCAACACCACAAUCCCUACAAAAGUCAAUGCACUGUCUGGCACUCAAUGCAGGCUUUAUAAUGAUAAACUCUUCUGCACCGGUGCUCAGUACCGCAUGCACUGCAACACAACAACACAUGAUAUCACCUAUCAGAGAUAUCAGAACCAGGACCAAUACCAGUGCAAUAGUAAUGACUGUAACUGCAUUGUUAAUAAGAACACCUGUACAUGCUACAGCAGCACUUGGUCCUCCUGUUUCUGUGAGACGUAUGGAAAAAGCAUCGCUCUCACUACUGAAAUCAGUCCAGUCUAUAACUGUAUGCUUUAUAAAGACACCUACAUGUGCACUGGUGCUCACUAUCACAUGUACUGCAACACAAGUGUCCAUGAUUUCCAUUAUAGUAGAUACCAUCACCACUGUUUGAAUAACAACUGUAACUGUUUUGGCGAUAUGAACACCUGUACAUGCUAUAGUGGCACUCAGUCCUGCUUUUGUGAGAUGAAUAAUGUUAACAUCUCUAUCCUGGCAGGAGUCAGUCCAGUGUAUGACUGUGUGCUUUAUAAUGACACCUACGUCUGCAGUGGUGCUCAGUACCGCAUGUUCUGCAACACAAGCAUACAUGGUUUCUUUUACCAGAGAUAUCAUCAAGACCAAUUGCAGUACUGCAGCGGUAACAACUGUUUCUGUACUAGUAAUAAGGACACCUGUACAUGCUUUAGUAGCACUUGGUCCUCAUGCUUCUGUGAGACAUAUGGAAAUAUUGCUGCUCUCACUACUGCAGUCUGCCCAGUCUAUGACUGUGUGCUUUAUAAAGACCUUUACAUCUGCACUGGUGCUCACUAUCACAUGUACUGCAACACAAGUGUCCAUAACUUCCAUUAUUUUAGAGACCAUUACCACUGUUUGAAUAACAACUGUAACUGUAUUGGUAAUAAGGACAACUGUACAUGCUCCUCUAGCGUGUCAUCCUCCUGCUACUGUACAGAUCACAGCAAAAACAUCUCCAUCCCUGCUGGAGUCAGUCCAGUCUCUGACUGUAAGCUUUAUAACGACACAUACGUCUGCACUGGCGCUCAGUACCGCAUGUUCUGCAACACAAGCGCAUAUGAUUUCAAGAAGUAUAUCAAUCAAAACCUAAACGAACACACGUGUACAGGUGAUAACUGUUAUUGCACUGGUAAUGGUGACACCUGUACAUGCUAUAGAAGCACUCUGUCCUCCUGCUUCUGUGAGACGUACAACAGUGGCACUGCUUUAAAUAGUGCGCUCAGCCCAGUCUCUGACUGUAUGCUUUAUAACAACUCUCUGACCUGCACUACCACAGGUGAGCAUGUUUCUGCACUCACGCUUUGUGUUAGCAUUUAA